AACGAACGCUGGCGGCAUGCCUAACACAUGCCAGUCGAACGAGACCUUCGGGUCUAGUGGCGCACGGGUGCGUAACGCGUGGGAACCUGCCCUUAGGUUCGGAAUAACUCCCCGAAAGGGGUGCUAAUACCGGAUAAUGUCUUCGGACCAAAGAUUUAUCGCCUUUGGAUGGGCCCGCGUUGGAUUAGCUAGUUGGUAGGGUAAAAGCCUACCAAGGCGACGAUCCAUAGCUGGUCUGAGAGGAUGAUCAGCCACACUGGGACUGAGACACGGCCCAGACUCCUACGGGAGGCAGCAGUGGGGAAUAUUGGACAAUGGGCGAAAGCCUGAUCCAGCAAUGCCGCGUGAGUGAUGAAGGCCUUAGGGUCGUAAAGCUCUUUUACCCGGGAUGAUAAUGACAGUACCGGGAGAAUAAGCUCCGGCUAACUCCGUG
rnacentral:rRNA from 1 species